UACAGAGGCCUCGAGCGUUAGGCGGAAUCACUGGGCGUAAAGGGCGCGUAGGCGGCCACUGCAAGUCAGUUGUGAAAUCUCCGGGCUUAACCCGGAAAGGUCAACUGAUACUGCAGGGCUAGAGUGCAGAAGGGGCAACUGGAAUUCUCGGUGUAGCGGUGAAAUGCGUAGAUAUCGAGAGGAACACCUGCGGCGAAGGCGGGUUGCUGGGCUGACACUGACGCUGAGGCGCGAAAGCCAGGGGAGCGAACGGG
rnacentral:rRNA from 1 species